AAUUCAUGAUGCAGGCAUUUUUGAAGCAUUUCCUUAAAUCUUUUCCAUCUCUCAUAAAUGAAUUCUCCUACAAACUAAGCAAAAUAAGUUGUGUCAUUUCUAAUUUU